UACGUAGGGUGCAAGCGUUAAUCGGAAUUACUGGGCGUAAAGGGCGCGUAGGCGGCCUGCUAAGUCGAACGUGAAAUCCCCGAGCUCAACUCGGGAACUGCGUCCGAUACUGGCAGGCUUGAAUCCGGGAGAGGGAUGCGGAAUUCCAGGUGUAGCGGUGAAAUGCGUAGAUAUCUGGAGGAACACCGGUGGCGAAGGCGGCAUCCUGGACCGGCAUUGACGCUGAGGCGCGAAAGCCAGGGGAGCAAAGCGGG
rnacentral:rRNA from 1 species